rnacentral:rRNA from 1 species
UACGUAGGGCGCAAGCGUUGUCCGGAAUUAUUGGGCGUAAAGAGCUCGUAGGCGGCUUGUCACGUCGGGUGUGAAAGCCCGGGGCUUAACCCCGGGUCUGCAUUCGAUACGGGCUAGCUAGAGUGUGGUAGGGGAGAUCGGAAUUCCUGGUGUAGCGGUGAAAUGCGCAGAUAUCAGGAGGAACACCGGUGGCGAAGGCGGGUCUCUGUGCAAUAACUGACGCUGAGGAGCGAAAGCGUGGGGAGCGAACAGG